rnacentral:lncRNA from 1 species
UCUAUGGUCAUCUCUAUGGUCAUCUCUAUGGUCUUUCCAACAACUCUAUGUCAUCUCCACGAUCAUCUCUAUGGUCAUUCUUAUGGUCCUCCCAACUUCUGUAUGGUCACCUCCACUGUCAUCUCUAUGGUCAUCUCUAUGGUCCCCCCCAACGUCUCUAUGGUCAUCUCCACAGUCAUCUCUAUGGUCACUUCCAUAAUCAUCUCUAUUAUCACUUCUAUAGUCAUCCCUAUGGUCCUCCCAACAUCUCUAUGGUCACCCCUAUGGUCAUCUCUAUGGUGCUCUAAAUGUCUCUAUGGUCACCUCUGUAGUCAUCUCUAUGGUCAUCUCUAUGAUCCUCCCAACGUCUCUAUGGCCACCUCCACGGUCAUCUCUAUGGUCAUUCCAAUGGUCCUCCCAACGUCUCUAUGGUCAUCUCUACUAUCAUCUCUAUGGUUAUUCCUAUGGUCCUCCCAACGUCUCUAUAGUCAUCUCCACCAUCAUCUCUAUGGUCACUUCUCUGGUCAUCUCUAUGGUCUUCCCAAUGUCUCAAUGGUCAUCUUCACCAUCAUCUCUAUAGUCACUUCCAUGGUCAUCUCUAUGGUCCUCCCAUCAUCUCUAUGGUCCUCCCACCCUCUCUAUGGUCCUCCCAUCCUCUCUACGGUCCUCCCACCCCUUCUCUAUGGUCCUCCCACCCUCUCUAUGGUCCUCCAAUGUCAUUACAGACCUCCCACCCCCUCUCUAUGGUUCUCCCAUCCUCUCUAUGGUCCUCCCCCCCUCUCUAUGGUCCCCCUCACCUCUCUCCAAUCAGCGCCCGUUCGCCCCACGAGAAGCUGCCGCCGCGGCAUCGCCCCCAUUCCCUCUGCCAAAAAACACCACAUUUCACCCCAAAAUUCCCAUCCUUCCCCCCAAAUUCCUUCCCCUGCCCCCCCAUCGCACGCCCUUAUCAUUUCCUUACCCCAAAACCCCGCUUUUCCCACCCCAAAAUCCCCGUUUUUCCUCCCCAAAUCCCACUCCUCCACCAAAUUCCAUUUUCCUCCCCCCAAACCCCAAAAUCUCCCUUUUUUCCCCCAAAAUCCCCCCCCAAAUCCCCAAAUCUCCCCAAAUAAUGACCACCAGCCCCAAUUUUCUGC